rnacentral:tRNA from 1 species
GCCUGCGUGGCUCAGUUGGUUGAGCAUCUGACUUCAGCUCAGGUCACGAUCUCAUGGUUCGUGGGUUCAAACCCCAUGUCGGGCU